rnacentral:rRNA from 1 species
UACGGAGGGUGCGAGCGUUGUCCGGAAUCAUUGGGCGUAAAGGGCGCGUAGGUGGCCCGGUCAGUUCGUGGUGAAAGCGCGGGGCUCAACCCUGCGUCGGCCAUGAAUACUGCCGCGGCUGGAGCACUGUAGAGGCAGGCGGAAUUCCAGGUGUAGCGGUGGAAUGCGUAGAGAUCCGGAAGAACACCGGUGGCGAAGGCGGCCUGCUGGGCAGUAGCUGACACUGAGGCGCGACAGCGUGGGGAGCAAACAGG